rnacentral:rRNA from 1 species
GACGAACGCUGGCGGCGUGCCUAAUACAUGCAAGUAGAACGCUGAGGAGAGGAGCUUACUCUUCUUGGAUGAGUUGCGAACGGGUGAGUAACGCGUAGGUAACCUGCCUUGUAGCGGGGGAUAACUAUUGGAAACGAUAGCUAAUACCGCAUAACAAUGGAUUACACAUUGCAUUUAUUUGAAAGGGGCAAUUGCUCCACUACAAGAUGGACCUGCGUUGUAUUAGCUAGUAGGUGAGGUAAUGGCUCACCUAGGCGACGAUACAUAGCCGACCUGAGAGGGGGAUCGGCCAGACUGGGAGGGAGACACGGCACAGACUCCUACGGGAGGCAGCAGGAGGGAAACUUCGGCAAUGGGGGCAACACUGACCGAGAAACGCCGCGUGAGUGAAGAAGGUUUUCGGAUCGUAAAGCUCUGUUGUAAGUCAAGAACGGGUGUGAGAGUGGAAAGUUCACACUGUGACGGUAGCUGAGCAGAAAGGGACGGCUAACUACGUG